GGCUUAACACAUGCAAGUCGAGGGGUAACAGGGGAGCUUGCUUCCGCUGACGACCGGCGAACGGGUGCGUAACGCGUAUAGAAUCUGCCUUGUACAGGAGGAUAGCCUUUAGAAAUGAAGAUUAAUACUCCAUAAUGUUGAGAAGUGGCAUCACUUUUUAAUUAAACAUUUAUGGGUACAAGAUGACUAUGCGUCCUAUUAGCUAGAUGGUAAGGUAACGGCUUACCAUGGCAACGAUAGGUAGGGGGUCUGAGAGGAUUAUCCCCCACACUGGUACUGAGACACGGACCAGACUCCUACGGGAGGCAGCAGUGAGGAAUAUUGGUCAAUGGAGGCAACUCUGAACCAGCCAUGCCGCGUGCAGGAUGACUGCCCUAUGGGUUGUAAACUGCUUUUAUACAGGAAGAAACAGUCGUACGUGUACGGCCUUGACGGUACUGUAAGAAUAAGCACCGGCUAACUCCGUGCC
rnacentral:rRNA from 1 species